AUGGUUCGUAUGCAUGACCAACCCACUGAGCCUCUGGACACAUCAAAUUUUAUUUGGCAUGAGAUCCGUCCCUGCAGUUUCAUUCAGACACGCCAGUUCCCUCAUGCUCCAUUUAUUCAGGCUCUGAUUGAUCACACUGCUCCCUUUGAGGUGGUUAAGACUGCUGUGCAUUCCAUUUGGAAGCCUCCUCCUCAUAUGCGCGUGGUGGCUUCUGCUCCUACUCAGCCUGGGAGGUCUGUCGGUGGGAAGACAGCUGCUCCUACUCAGCCCAGUGGUUCCUCUGUUCCAUCUUCCUCGUCUGCGCCUCGUGGACGCCUUGCCUCGUUCUUCGGCAAGGCUCGGUCUGCUAUCAUGAAAGCAAUCACCUUCAGCUAUCAGCAGAAUCAUGAUGUUUAG
rnacentral:rRNA from 1 species